GGCGGGGUAGCUCAGCGGUUAGAGCAGUGGAUUCAUAACCCACUGGUCGACGGUUCGAUUCCGUCCUCCGCCACCA
rnacentral:tRNA from 1 species